GCCAGACUCCUACGGGAGGCAGCAGUGGGGGAUAUUGCACAAUGGGGGAAACCCUGAUGCAGCGACGCCGCGUGGGUGAAGAAGUAUUUCGGUAUGUAAAGCCCUAUCAGCAGGGAAGAAAGAAGACGGUACCUGACUAAGAAGCCCCGGCUAACUACGUGCCAGCAGCCGCGGUAAUACGUAGGGGGCAAGCGUUAUCCGGAUUUACUGGGUGUAAAGGGAGCGUAGACGGCUGUGCAAGCCAGAUGUGAAAGCCCGGGGCUCAACCCCGGGACUGCAUUUGGAACUGUGUGGCUGGAGUGUCGGAGAGGCAGGCGGAAUUCCUAGUGUAGCGGUGAAAUGCGUAGAUAUUAGGAGGAACACCAGUGGCGAAGGCGGCCUGCUGGACGAUGACUGACGUUGAGGCUCGAAAGCGUGGGGAGCAAACAGGAUUAGAUACCCUGGUA
rnacentral:rRNA from 1 species